AAUAGAGGCCGCGCGCACAGAGCGAGCUCUUGCAGCCUCCCCGCCCCUCCUGCAACGCUCGACCCCAGGAUUCCCCCGGCUCGCCUGUCCGCCAUGGCCGACAAGGAAGCAGCCUUCGACGACGCAGUGGAAGAACGAGUGAUCAACGAGGAAUACAAAAUAUGGAAAAAGAACACCCCUUUUCUUUAUGAUUUGGUGAUGACCCAUGCUCUGGAGUGGCCCAGCCUAACUGCCCAGUGGCUUCCAGAUGUAACCAGAACCCUUGUAUCAUCGCAACAAAGACUCCUUCCAGUGAUGUUCUUGUCUUUGACUAUACAAAACAUCCUUCUAAACCAGAUCCUUCUGGAGAGUGCAACCCAGACUUGCGUCUCCGUGGACAUCAGAAGGAAGGCUAUGGGCUUUCUUGGAACCCAAAUCUCAGUGGGCACUUACUUAGUGCUUCAGAUGACCACACCAUCUGCCUGUGGGACAUCAGUGCCGUUCCAAAGGAGGGAAAAGUGGUAGAUGCGAAGACCAUCUUUACAGGGCAUACGGCAGUAGUAGAAGAUGUUUCCUGGCAUCUACUCCAUGAGUCUCUGUUUGG
rnacentral:sRNA from 1 species